GAUGAAGAACGUAGUGAAAUGCGAUACGUAAUGUGAAUUGCAGAAUUCAGUGAAUCAUCGAAUCUUUGAACGCAUAUUGCGCUCUUUGGUAUUCCGAAGAGCAUGCUUGUUUGAGUAUCAGUAAACACCUCAAAGACUUCAAUUUGUUUUGAAUGGCUUUGGACUUGAGCAAUCCCAACACCAGUCUUUACGAUCGGUGGAGGGUUGCUUGAAAUGCAGGUGCAGCUGGACAUUCUCCUGAGCUAAAAGCAUAUUUAUUUAGUCCCGUCAAACGGAUUAUUACUUUUGCUGCAGCUAACAUAAAGGGAGUUUGACCGUAUUGGCUGACUGAUGCAGGAUUUCACAAGGGUCGGCAACGAUUCUUGUAAAACUCGAUCUCAAAUCAAGUAAGACUACCCGCUGAACUUAAGCAUAUCAAUAAGCGGAGGA
rnacentral:misc_RNA from 1 species